CUUGUUUUUAACGCUGCUUUGUUGCCUUCAAAAAUGCUCAAAUUCAUGAAAUUAAAGGUUUUAUGAAUUAGCAAGACGAAUUGAAAUUAAAAGGCUCAGCCUUUUAAGUGUAGGAUCACCAUUUUUGCAAACUUGCAGUUUGGGGACUGUAACUACCACGAAAUUAACCCUAAGAAUCCAUAACCCUUUAAGCCCCAGAAGUGCCAGCUGGGCUCAAAGUGGCAUGCGGUUUCUUUACCAAAGAGCCUCUACUGCACACGAUUUAAUUGUCACUUCUUUACCAACGUGCCUCUUUGGCACACAUACCAAAUGCCAGCAACAGAAAUGUAAAUAGCGCUCUGUCCCGUUUGACAUCGUCUCGAGCGCUCUGAUUGGACGAGAUGGCUUGGAGACGUGCUUGGCGCGUCCUUACAAAAACCACAAGAGGCGAAAUGGCCGCGCUUCGGACCGUCGUCGACGAAAUUUUAGCAGAUAGUGGCUCCGAAAUAUCCUUGGAUGAAACUUCCUCCUUGUCCUCAUCAGGAGAAAGUGAUGAUGAAUUAAUGGCGGCCAUAUCAUUCAGCACAUCAAAGCCACCGGGCACCCACAAGCCGAACUUCAGGACUGGAUGGCAAGCAACCUCCACUUUAAUACCAAAAGCCACUACCUGUGAACUUCACGGAAACGACUGGGUGUAGCCUUCUUCUGUGGAGCAGUUUGGCAAUUGCUGAUGAGGGAGACCAACUGCUAUGCAGAUCAGACGCUAUCUGCAGAAUCUGCUAACACUCGGUGUACUUGGGUGGAAGUAACUUAGCAUCACAAAUGUGUCAGUACUUUAGACAUCAUCAUAGAUCCCUGAAAUGGUGGAAACAAGUUUUCUUUGCGAUUCUUGACAUCUGUUUGCUUAAUGCUACCAUCGUGUACAACGGCAUCCCCACAGAGCGGCUGCUCACUAGCUUAGAUUUCAGGGUCAAGGUAAUCGAUGAACUAUUGUCCACCUGCAGGACGAGAAACUCAACACCACAUGCCCCCUGAAACUGCAAUCCUUUCAAGUGGACAUUAUCCCGGAAGAAGUAGGCAAGGCCAAAAACGGAACUGUGUUGUUUGUAUAGUACGAGAACCCAACGUAAGCAGACUCGUAUGAUUUGUAAGAAUUGCCAGAAACUAAUUAUGCCAUGCUUUGAAACAUUUCACAAUGUGCGUUAACAUAGACUCGGGUAGUUUAGAUUGUGCCCGCCCCCUUCAACCACCCCCAAUCUCCCCCCUCCUUCCAAUGUAGCAGUGGAUCGCUCUGGACGCGCACCAGCCUUUAACGCAACAUUGGAUGGGGGCGCGGGGCAUCAAGUAGCUCCCAGAAAUCAUUUAGAGGUCUGGAAAGUCCAUUUAGCAGCAGAGUAUAAGAUAUAUCAAUGAAAACUCAGUUUUUCAGACCAGUCUCAGAGGGUUUGUAUACAGGGUGUCAAAUGAACUUUGUGUUCUAUUUAUACAAGCCUAUGCUUAUUUAACAGCCUCAUGCUAUUUUCUGUUGUCAUUUGUAUAUUGACUGCUUUUAUUUAUCUUAUAAGCUCUAAUCUCUCUUAAUUAAGUACAAGUAUGUGUAAAAGGUUAUUUAUAUCCACAUUGCUAUUUUCAAUGUACUUAGUUUCUUAGAUUUCUGAUGUAUUGUCGCUUAUCCAUUUUGUCAAUUUCUAUGUAUCAAGCUCCCUUAAUUAUCAAUGUAAAUUUUGUUAAGAGUACGGAAUAAAACGUUUUCUUGAAUCUUGA